UUCAGGGAAAUAUGGCGGGUGGGGGCGGUGGCUUUUCCCCGGAGGCCCCGUGUGGGGCGGCGGCCGUGGAGUCUCACAAAGGAGGACCUUUGAGAGCGAUGGGCUUCCUCAGGCCUGAGGCUCGGAAUGCUGGUCUGUACUUCGUGGGGGAUCUUAACCUAUUCCAGGCGCUCGGCUGAGGCUGGGUUUUUUGAGUUAUGAAGGUUGAAGAUCCUGUUGCUUUCUUUUUUUCCGUUUUAAAUAAAUGGGUUUAUGUAG
rnacentral:lncRNA from 1 species